rnacentral:misc_RNA from 1 species
GAUGAAGAACGUAGCGAAAUGCGAUAAGUAAUGCGAAUUGCAGAAUUCAGUGAAUCAUCGAAUCUUUGAACGCACAUUGCGCCCGUCAGUAUUCUGGCGGGCAUGCCUGUUCGAGCGUCAUUACGCCCCUCAAGUCCCCUGUGGACUUGGUGUUGGGGAUCGGCGAGGCUGGUUUUCCAGCACAGCCGUCCCUUAAAUUAAUUGGCGGUCUCGCCGUGGCCCUCCUCUGCGCAGUAGUAAAACACUCGCAACAGGAGCCCGGCGCGGUCCACUGCCGUAAAACCCCCCAACUUUUUAUAGUUGACCUCGAAUCAGGUAGGACUACCCGCUGAACUUAAGCAUAUCAAUAAGCGGAGGA